rnacentral:rRNA from 1 species
GGCAGGGAAGUCAUGGGCGCAGCCUGAUCAGCCAUGCCGCGUGUGUGAAGAAGGCCUUAUGGUUGUAAAGCACUUUAAGCGAGGAGGAGGCUACUUUAGUUAAUACCUAGAGAUAGUGGACGUUACUCGCAGAAUAAGCACCGGCUAACUCUGUGCCAGCAGCCGCGGUAAUACAGAGGGUGCAAGCGUUAAUCGGAUUUACUGGGCGUAAAGCGCGCGUAGGCGGCUAAUUAAGUCAAAUGUGAAAUCCCCGAGCUUAACUUGGGAAUUGCAUUCGAUACUGGUUAGCUAGAGUGUGGGAGAGGAUGGUAGAAUUCCAGGUGUAGCGGUGAAAUGCGUAGAGAUCUGGAGGAAUACCGAUGGCGAAGGCAGCCAUCUGGCCUAACACUGACGCUGAGGUGCGAAAGCAUGGGGAGCAAACAGGAUUAGAUACCCUGGUAGUCCAUGCCGUAAACGAUGUCUACUAGCCGUUGGGGCCUUUGAGGCUUUAGUGGCGCAGCUAACGCGAUAAGUAGACCGCCUGGGGAGUACGGUCGCAAGACUAAAACUCAAAUGAAUUGACGGGGGCCCGCACAAGCGGUGGAGCAUGUGGUUUAAUUCGAUGCAACGCGAAGAACCUUACCUGGCCUUGACAUAGUAAGAACUUUCCAGAGAUGGAUUGGUGCCUUCGGGAACUUACAUACAGGUGCUGCAUGGCUGUCGUCAGCUCGUGUCGUGAGAUGUUGGGUUAAGUCCCGCAACGAGCGCAACCCUUUUCCUUAUUUGCCAGCGAGUAAUGUCGGGAACUUUAAGGAUACUGCCAGUGACAAACUGGAGGAAGGCGGGGACGACGUCAAGUCAUCAUGGCCCUUACGGCCAGGGCUACACACGUGCUACAAUGGUCGGUACAAAGGGUUGCUACCUAGCGAUAGGAUGCUAAUCUCAAAAAGCCGAUCGUAGUCCGGGAUUGGAGUCUGCAACUCGACUCCAUGAAGUCGGAAUCGCUAGUAAUCGCGGAUCAGAAUGCCGCGGUGAAUACGUUUCUCGGGCCUUGUACACACCGCUCGUCACACCAUGGAGUUUGUGCACCAGAGUAGCUAGCCUAACUGCAAGAGGGCGGUUACCACGGUGUGGCCGAUGACUGGGGUGAGU